UCUCCGUUGGUGAACCAGCGGAGGGAUCAUUGCUGGAACACGUCCCCCCGGGCGUACCCAGAAACCCUUUGUGAACUUACCUUUGUUGCCUCGGCGGGGCCUACCCGGUACCGACCCCUUUUGGGCGAAGUUACCCUGUAGCCCGCCGGUGGAUUUUCAAACUCUUGUUAUUUUAAUGUUAUCUGAGCGUCUUAUUUUAAUAAGUCAAAACUUUCAACAACGGAUCUCUUGGUUCUGGCAUCGAUGAAGAACGCAGC
rnacentral:misc_RNA from 1 species